AUUGAACGCUGGCGGCAUGCUUUACACAUGCAAGUCGAACGGUAACAGGCCUUCGGGUGCUGACGAGUGGCGAACGGGUGAGUAAUGCAUCGGAACGUGCCCAGAGGUGGGGGAUAACGCAGCGAAAGCUGUGCUAAUACCGCAUGUGAUCUGAGGAUGAAAGCGGGGGACCAGGCAGCAAUGUUUGGCCUCGCGCCUUUGGAGCGGCCGAUGUCAGAUUAGGUAGUUGGUGGGGUAAAGGCCUACCAAGCCGACGAUCUGUAGCUGGUCUGAGAGGACGACCAGCCACACUGGGACUGAGACACGGCCCAGACUCCUACGGGAGGCAGCGGUGGGGAAUUUUGGACAAUGGGCGCAAGCCUGAUCCAGCAAUGCCGCGUGCGGGAAGAAGGCCUUCGGGUUGUAAACCGCUUUUGUACGGAACGAAAAGGCUCUGGCUAAUACCUGGGGCUGAUGACGGUACCGUAAGAAUAAGCACCGGCUAACUACGUG
rnacentral:rRNA from 1 species